rnacentral:rRNA from 1 species
ACAGUCGAGCGGUAACAGAUCCAGCUUGCUGGAUGCUGACGAGCGGCGGACGGGUGAGUAAUGCAUAGGAAUCUGCCCGAUAGUGGGGGAUAACCUGGGGAAACCCAGGCUAAUACCGCAUACGUCCUACGGGAGAAAGGGGGCUUUGGCUCCCGCUAUCGGAUGAGCCUAUGUCGGAUUAGCUAGUUGGUGAGGUAAAGGCUCACCAAGGCAACGAUCCGUAGCUGGUCUGAGAGGAUGAUCAGCCACAUCGGGACUGAGACACGGCCCGAACUCCUACGGGAGGCAGCAGUGGGGAAUAUUGGACAAUGGGGGCAACCCUGAUCCAGCCAUGCCGCGUGUGUGAAGAAGGCCCUCGGGUUGUAAAGCACUUUCAGCGAGGAAGAACGCUUAGCGGUUAAUACCCGCUAGGAAAGACAUCACUCGCAGAAGAAGCACCGGCUAACUCCGUGCCAGCAGCCGCGGUAAUACGGAGGGUGCAAGCGUUAAUCGGAAUUACUGGGCGUAAAGCGCGCGUAGGUGGCUUGAUAAGCCGGUUGUGAAAGCCCCGGGCUCAACCUGGGAACGGCAUCCGGAACUGUCAAGCUAGAGUGCAGGAGAGGAAGGUAGAAUUCCCGGUGUAGCGGUGAAAUGCGUAGAGAUCGGGAGGAAUACCAGUGGCGAAGGCGGCCUUCUGGACUGACACUGACACUGAUGUGCGAAAGCGUGGGUAGCAAACAGGAUUAGAUACCCUGUUAGUCCACGCCGUAAACGAUGUCGACCAGCCGUUGGGUGCCUAGCGCACUUUGUGGCGAAGUUAACGCGAUAAGUCGACCGCCUGGGAGUACGGCCGCAAGGUUAAAACUCAAAUGAAUUGACGGGGCCCGCACAAGCGGUG